GCCAGACUCCUACGGGAGGCAGCAGUGGGGAAUAUUGGGCAAUGGGCGCAAGCCUGACCCAGCGACGCCGCGUGAGGGAAGACGGUCUUCGGAUUGUAAACCUCUUUCAGCAGGGAAGACAAAAGGACGGUACCUGCAGAAGAAGCCACGGCUAACUACGUGCCAGCAGCCGCGGUAAUACGUAGGUGGCAAGCGUUAUCCGGAUUUACUGGGUGUAAAGGGCGUGUAGGCGGGACUGCAAGUCAGAUGUGAAAAUUAUGGGCUCAACCCAUAACCUGCAUUUGAAACUGUAGUUCUUGAGUGAUGGAGAGGCAGGCGGAAUUCCGUGUGUAGCGGUGAAAUGCGUAGAUAUACGGAGGAACACCAGUGGCGAAGGCGGCCUGCUGGACAUUAACUGACGCUGAGGCGCGAAAGCGUGGGGAGCAAACAGGAUUAGAUACCCGGGUAU
rnacentral:rRNA from 1 species